GCUUUAUGUUUGCGCAUGCGCGCCGCCCCGCUUUGUGUUUCCAGCCAAAAUGGCGUUAAGUAAAACAUUUGGACAAAAACCGGUGAAAUUUCAGCUAGAAGAUGAUGGGGAUUUUUAUAUGAUUGGCUCGGAGGUAGGAAAUUAUUUGCGCAUGUUCAGGGGCUCUCUGUAUAAGAGGUAUCCAUCGCUCUGGAGAAGAUUAGCGUCGGUGGAAGAGCGGAAGAAGAUAGUAGCUUCGUCUCACGAUCAUGGUUACACAACUUUAGCCACCAGUGUGACUCUGCUGAAGGCAUCUGAAGUUGAGGAAAUCUUGGAAGGGAACGAUGAGAAGUACAAAGCCGUUUCCAUCAGCACGGAGCCCCCUGCGUACCUCAGGGAGCAGAAGGCGAAGCGGAACAGCCAGUGGGUCCCCACCCUGCCAAACAGCUCUCACCACCUUGAUGCCGUGCCCUGUUCCACCACCAUCAACCGUAACCGCAUGGGCCGCGACAAGAAGAGGACCUUCCCACUCUGCUUUGAUGACCAUGACCCAGCCGUGAUUCAUGAGAAUGCCAUGCAGCCCGAGGUUCUAGUCCCGAUCCGGCUUGACAUGGAGAUCGAUGGACAGAAACUUAGGGACGCGUUUACCUGGAACAUGAAUGAGAAGCUCAUAACUCCCGAGAUGUUUGCUGAGAUUCUCUGCGACGACCUAGACCUGAAUCCCCUGACUUUCGUGCCCGCUAUCGCCUCGGCCAUCCGGCAGCAGAUAGAGUCUUACCCCACGGACAGCAUCCUGGACGAACAGACGGACCAGCGGGUUAUCAUCAAGCUGAACAUCCAUGUGGGGAACAUCUCCCUGGUGGACCAGUUCGAAUGGGACAUGUCGGAGAAGGAGAACUCGCCGGAGACGUUCGCCCUGAAGCUGUGCUCGGAGCUGGGCUUGGGGGGCGAAUUUGUCACCACCAUUGCCUACAGCAUCCGCGGCCAGCUCAGCUGGCACCAGAGGACGUACGCCUUCAGGUCUGAUUUCAGGUCAAUACACUUGUGCAUUUCUUGAUCCUCUCCCCCAGCUUAACCCCCGUUUCGAGUUCUCUCUCAUCUUCAGACCUUGGGAAGCUGAGUACCUCACACUUUUCCGUUUGUCUGUUUAUUUUUCUUGUGUUUUUUGGAAACGCCGUAGGGCCGAUCCCGGUCUAAACGACAGGCGUCUGUGUAAAACGUUGAAUUUGGCCAAGCUCAGGUCACGCCUGGUUGAGAAACCAGGCAGAGUGGCAUACCGCAGACGGGCUGCCCCCACAGUGUCAAUGAACUCUGCCCAAGUUGGACAGCUGUGAUGGCUCUCUCACAAAAGGCUUCCUCUUGUGUUCUCCCUUUAAUUUAAUUUAAUUUAAAGCCUUUAAUUUAAGCCUGCUUGUCAGUGGCCUCUCUGCAUUGCACUACACAGGAUAAUUCCUGCUUACGGAAGGCCUGUAAAGACUGAAUUCUCUACACAGGCACUUAAACGUAAACCUGGGCAUGCUUUUGUCUUUUGAGCUGUUAUGAGAAGAUAAUCUAAUAAACAAAAUAAAACAUGCAUAGGAGUACCUAAUUUAGUUCCUAUUUAGCAGAAAUACUAAAGAUGAUUUCCUGUUUGCAGAAUUUUUUUUCCCUCCGUACUCCUGCUUCAAUGAUUGGCUGAUGUUGUCAUAUGACAAUUUGGUCUCUGCCUGACUGUCCUGACCAUGUUGGUGGCUAUUUUCUUUUCCUUUUUUUAGUGAGAAUCCCCUGCCUACUGUGGAGAUUGCCAUCCGGAACACGGGUGAUGCUGAUCAGUGGUGCCCCCUGCUGGAGACCCUGACUGAUGCGGAAAUGGAGAAGAAGAUAAGGGACCAGGACAGGAACACCAGACGCAUGCGACGACUCGC